GGACGGGUUGGGCAUAGGCCAAAACGACUUCGUUUUGGGAUUAAAGGGCAGCCCCCAAAACGACGUCGUUUUGGAGGGCUAUAUAAACUCUAAAAUUAACAAAAAAAAAUCAUUUGGUGAGGAGAGAAAGAAAAAAAAAGAGAGAAGGAAAAGAGAAGGGAGAGAGAAAGGGGGAAGGGGAUUUCCGGCCAUGGGCCGGUCACCGGACCGUCGCCGACGCCGGCGCCGGCCACCGUGCACAGUGGCCGAAAGGGUGCAAGUGGAGCGGUGACACAGUGGCGGUGGGGGCAGGUGGAGCAGGUGAUUGGCAUGGGGCAAUGG